UACGUAGGUGACAAGCGUUGUCCGGAUUUACUGGGCGUAAAGAGCGCGCAGGCGGUCGUUCAAGUCGAGUGUGAAAGCCCCCGGCUCAACUGGGGAGGGUCAUUCGAUACUGAUCGACUCGAAGGCAGGAGAGGGUAGUGGAAUUCCCGGUGUAGUGGUGAAAUGCGUAGAUAUCGGGAGGAACAUCAGUGGCGAAGGCGGCCAUCUGGGACAACACUGACGCUGAAGCACGAAAGCGUGGGGAGCAAACAGG
rnacentral:rRNA from 1 species